CUCGUAGGCAGUAAGAUGCGUCCAUCCGAUCUCUUCCAGUAAUGAGAGCUUCAUUUCGUAGAGUUUCUUCUUCGGAGGGUCUCCGUCUUCUAAGAUCAUGUCGUUCAACACCUGCAAUGAUGCAAUCUACGAGUUAGCCGAAUAAUUAAAUUACUACUUCCAGAGGAUUGGAUGGGAAGAUUUUCAUUUUCAUUCAAUCAUACGGAGAACUGACCUUGAGGGCUGUUCCAAGCCUUCCACGUCGCUUCUCGCGGAGGACAUAAAGGGUGCCGAACUUAGACGACUUUACAUCGACCCAUUUCUGUAGUUCUUUGAAAGUCUCUUCGAACGUAUCUUGCUUCGAACCAGACUCUUCUGAUGCUUCUUUUCGCACGUCUGUCCAUUCAUCUAUGUUGCCUUCUGCUCCUGCCUCUGUUUCAGUUUUAUCGCUGUUCUGCUAAACCCAUGAUUCACAGUUAGGUCAGAAUUUAAAAAAUACCAAGGAUUGGAAAUUUUUUAUACAAGAGAUAUCAUGAGUUAUAAGGACCGGACCUUGAGAGAUUCGAUUUCGGAGAGGGCCAGACCCUUUGAGUAAAGCGCUUCUGCUAGUUGAUCUCUAGUAGUCUCCAUCUUCUUCUUCAUUUUCUGAAUAACAGUAUGACAUGUGCAUGAAAAAAAACUUUGCGAG
rnacentral:lncRNA from 1 species